rnacentral:rRNA from 1 species
GAUGAACGCUGGCGGCGUGCCUAAUACAUGCAAGUCGAGCGAACGGACGAGAAGCUUGCUUUUCUGAUGUUAGCGGCGGACGGGUGAGUAACACGUGGAUAACCUACCUAUAAGACUGGGAUAACUUCGGGAAACCGGAGCUAAUACCGGAUAAUAUUUUGAACCGCAUGGUUCAAAAGUGAAAGACGGUCUUGCUGUCACUUAUAGAUGGAUCCGCGCUGCAUUAGCUAGUUGGUAAGGUAACGGCUUACCAAGGCAACGAUGCAUAGCCGACCUGAGAGGGUGAUCGGCCACACUGGAACUGAGACACGGUCCAGACUCCUACGGGAGGCAGCAGUAGGGAGUCUUCCGCAAUGGGCGAAAGCCUGACGGAGCAACGCCGCGUGAGUGAUGAAGGUCUUCGGAUCGUAAAACUCUGUUAUUAGGGAAGAACAUAUGUGUAAGUAACUGUGCACAUCUUGACGGUACCUAAUCAGAAAGCCACGGCUAACUACGUG